AGCCAUCUCAGGGAGUGGGUUCAUAGCAGGACACCAGCACGCUGUCAGUGCCUACUUCCAAAUUAGGAAGGAAACCUAGAAGCCCUGGAGUAAAUAAAGGAUGAGAAAAGACAAAUCCCAAAGGAAGGGUUCUGUUCAUCUCUCUGCUCAGAUAGGGAAACAAAGGGUCACUGAGUUACAUUUCCUGCCCCCUGUUAAGAUUUUGGAGAGACAGAAAUUGCUUUCUGAGGACAGCCCCACCCAACAAUUAUCCUGGAGUUUCAGAAAAGCAAGAAAAUAUUUCACAGAAGAUGCCCAGAUGUUCCCUUCUAACAGUGAUAGUGUUGCCUGCAAGUGGACUACAAGAUAA
rnacentral:lncRNA from 1 species